rfam:Lachnospiraceae bacterium 28-4 genomic scaffold acPFn-supercont1.2, whole genome shotgun sequence.
UUGCUUACCAUCAGCAAUUUUACUUAUGAAAUGGUCAAAACCCAGGGGAAAAUCGCCAUGGAGGGCGAUUUUAGGAAGUGUCGGACAGGAUGUCCGUUGCUUCCGACCCGUCCGCAUACCACAACCAUACUCCAUUUCAUUAGUAAAAUCUGAUGGAAAGCUC